AAGUCACUAGCAUGUACUCGAGGGAAGGACUUGGUCGUUUUCCGAUCAAUCAACUUGGACCAUCCUACUCUUUCACCAGCAUGAACGAUACCUCGCAUAGCAUUGUCAUGCCCAGCAAGUGGGUCGCGGCAGUGGACAAUCGCCGCAACCUCAAUGUCUGAAAGCGAGGGAAGUGGGGUCGAUGCCCGACCUCAUUUCCCUCUGACAACCAAGUAGGUCCCACUGCCGUUCCUGUAAUGGCUAUUGCAGUGGGGUCUUUGGCUCAGGAUUCUCCUCCGACCUUUUGGUUGCGAUGCGAUAGGCAAAUCAUUCUUGGCUCAUGGGUGCAUUAAGUUAGUUA
rnacentral:lncRNA from 1 species